rnacentral:rRNA from 1 species
AGCAGCCGCGGUAAUUCCAGCUCCAAUAGCGUAUAUUAAAGUUGCUGCAGUUAAAAAGCUCGUAGUUGAAUUUCGGGACCAAUAUGUCGGUCGUGCCUCGGUACGUACUGGCAUCGUUGGUUUCUCCCUUCUGACGAACCAUGAUGUCAUUUAUUUGGUGUCGUGGGGAAUCAGGACUGUUACUUUGAAAAAAUUAGAGUGUUUAAAGCAGGCUCACGCUUGAAUACAUUAGCAUGGAAUAAUGAAAUAGGACGUUUGAUUCUAUUUUGUUGGUUUCUAGGAUCGACGUAAUGAUUAAUAGGGAUAGUUGGGGGCAUUAGUAUUCAAUUGUCAGAGGUGAAAUUCUUGGAUUUAUUGAAGACUAACUACUGCGAAAGCAUUUGCCAAGGAUGUUUUCAUUAAUCAAGAACGAAAGUUAGGGGAUCGAAGACGAUCAGAUACCGUCGUAGUCUUAACCAUAAACUAUGCCGACUAGGGAUCGGGUGAUGUUAAUUUUUAAUGUACUCAUUCGGCGCCUUAC